rnacentral:lncRNA from 1 species
AUCGGUUAUUAGAUUGACCAUCGAAUGCGUGAAGAUUAGGUGAUUCAGUUGAGAAAAAAUCGAUUAAACUAUAUUAUUUUUCAAUAGGUAAAAUUAAGCAAACUAGAAGCUUAACAUAAACGGCUUAACUGAAAAAAGUGAAUUGAUUAUAUAUUAUUAGUGACAAGAGAUUACGAAGGUUAUAAAAUAAGACUGAGCUAAAAUAUACUUUUAGAAAGUUCUUAAACAAAAGGCAUAAAAAGACUAUAG